UCCCAGGACAGGGGCAGGGACACCGGGGAGCCGGAGCCCCCGGCAGGGGCGCAGCAGCCUGCACAGCUCACCUUGGAGAGCAGGGGCGCGUGUACCCCGGGGAGAAAAGCCUUACGGCUGCCCCAGCUGUGGGAAGAACUUCACCUGCAAGUCCCGCCUCCGUGCCCACCAGCGCGCGCAGGCUCGGGAGAAGCCGCUGCGCUGCCUGCAGGGAGAGCUCCAGAUCCGGCGCAGCACUCACCAAGCAAUAGCAAACCCGCAGACCAGACCCUUGCCAUUGACACACGACUAUUUCAGCCCACUUCCAUCUCGCCUUCCUUUCCUGCAGCCUGUGCCCUGUUGUGGGGUUUGGGAGUAGAUCCGGCCCCUGGUCUGAAGUGCUCCCACCUCCCCAUGGACCACGUGCUGAUUUUGCGUGGCCCUGAGAGUGGAAAGGGAGGGAGUUGCAAGUCCCCAGGGCAUCUCUCCGCAGGGGAACAACCCUCAUUCUGUUCCCUUGGCUGUCAACACCUGCCCCGUGUGCUCCAAGCCCAGGGUGCAGUCGGCAAUCUGGGUGUGAUGGCGGGCCGCAGAGGCAGCUCCCUGGCUGGUUCCCUGUGACGUGUUUUGUUUCACGGGGCGACUGCUUGUCCCUGUGUCGAACUCUUAACGGCUGUGCUGAGAGUGCAGCUGGCGGGGCUUGGAAGAGAACAGCUGCUCCUAGUAGUGUACGACUCGGUCCUCCAGGCUGAUUUGCACUCUAGUGAGAAACAUUCACUCAGGUAUGGAAACAAGCUUCAGUGAGGUAUUGGAUGCACUGCCAAGAUGCUCAAGAAGGCUUGAUUUUGUUUUAUGAAUCUGAAAGAGAUGUAUAUUUAUGUACAUUAUGAAUCUCAAAGGGAUGCAGCAAGAGAGGCUUAGGUUGGAUACUAGGAAAAAAAUUAUCCUUAGGAGGGUGGUGAAGUACUGGAAUGGGUUACCUAGAAAGGUGGUGCACUCUCCAUCUUGAAGGUUGUUAAGGCCCAGCUCAACAAAGCCCUUGCUGGGAUGAUGUAGUUGGGGCUGGUCCUGAUUUAAGCAGGGGGUUGGACUAGAUGUGACCUCCUGGGGUCCC